GUGAACUACAAGAAAGUGAAGAAGAAGAAAGAAGAAAAGUUGUAUUCUUGAGUUAAUGUGAGGAAGCAGUUUAAGAUGGUGAAGGUUAUCCCAAAGGCAAUUAAGGUGAAGUGUUGGAGCCGUGGUUCACUUGAAGACUUAGACUACUAGUUGUUUUUUCUAUGACUUUUGGCGUGACAAUAUUUUGUAAUCCUAUUGCGGAACACAAAUGAAUUAACUAUGCUAUUAACUCUUCUUAUAUGUGUAUAUUAAAAUGUUUUGGUCAUC